CCUACGGGGGGCAGCAGUGGGGAAUAUUGGACAAUGGGGGCAACCCUGAUCCAGCCAUGCCGCGUGUGUGAAGAAGGCCCUCGGGGUGUAAAGCACUUUCAGUGAGGAAGAACGCCUGGUGGUUAAUACCCAUCAGGAAAGACAUCACUCACAGAAGAAGCACCGGCUAACUCCGUGCCAGCAGCCGCGGUAAUACGGAGGGUGCGAGCGUUAAUCGGAAUUACUGGGCGUAAAGCGCGCGUAGGUGGCUUGAUAAGCCGGUUGUGAAAGCCCCGGGCUCAACCUGGGAACGGCAUCCGGAACUGUCAAGCUAGAGUGCAGGAGAGGAAGGUAGAAUUCCCGGUGUAGCGGUGAAAUGCGUAGAGAUCGGGCGGAAUACCAGUGGCGAAGGCGGCCUUCUGGACUGACACUGACACUGAGGUGCGAAAGCGUGGGUAGAAAACAGGAUUAGAUACCCCGGUAGUC
rnacentral:rRNA from 1 species